rnacentral:lncRNA from 1 species
CAAGGAAGAAAUGUUUUUGGCUGUAAAGCAGCCAUCUUCAGCUUAUAUUCUGUAAAUUCAAAUUUGUUCUUUUUUUAAGAACAUUCUAAACCAUAAAAAAUAUAUAGUUCAAAUAUAAAAAAUUAAAUCAGCUAUAACAAUAAUAGAAUGUAGGGUUCUAUCUUACUUGAAGAGGAAGAUAGAACAUUGGAUGAGGUGCACUCUAGUUUUCAGAAGAAAUCUUGUGAUAUUUAAUACUUUAAGGAAUGAUACUGUUAUGGCAAGGAUUAUGGUACAGGAGUAUAUUCUAUACCUGCCAUUAAUUGGGCAUCUAUAUGAAGAAUAUGUAGGAAAAACUAUUAGAAAUUUAAGGGAGAGAAUAAAGGAACAUAAAGUAGUUAUAUGUCUAGAUAAAGUUACUAAAGCUCUUAUGAUAAAAUCAUAUAAGUACAACCUUGAGAUAGAAUGGCAUAACAGCCAUGAAUCAUAGACAGCAGUGGCUCUGGAGAUUCUAAAAAAAACCAAGAACAUGAUCAAUGAUAGUCUUCCAGAAGAUUUAGCAUAGUUUUAGCUUUGGUGCCUAUAGUGGAAACGAAUACUUCCCUUAAGAUAAAACUUAAACUUACA